rnacentral:rRNA from 1 species
UGCAGUCGAACGAGUUCUGAUUAUCUGAAAGGUGCUCUGCAUCUUGAUUUAAUUUUGAACGAGUGGCGGACGGGUGAGUAACACGUGGGUAACCUGCCCUUAAGUGGGGGAUAACAUUUGGAAACAGAUGCUAAUACCGCAUAAAUCCAAGAACCGCAUGGUUCUUGGCUGAAAGAUGGCGUAAGCUAUCGCUUUUGGAUGGACCCGCGGCGUAUUAGCUAGUUGGUGAGGUAACGGCUCACCAAGGCAAUGAUACGUAGCCGAACUGAGAGGUUGAUCGGCCACAUUGGGACUGAGACACGGCCCAAACUCCUACGGGAGGCAGCAGUAGGGAAUCUUCCACAAUGGACGCAAGUCUGAUGGAGCAACGCCGCGUGAGUGAAGAAGGCUUUCGGGUCGUAAAACUCUGUUGUUGGAGAAGAAUGGUCGGCAGAGUAACUGUUGUCGGCGUGACGGUAUCCAACCAGAAAGCCACGGCUAACUACGUGCCAGCAGCCGCGGUAAUACGUAGGUGGCAAGCGUUAUCCGGAUUUAUUGGGCGUAAAGCGAGCGCAGGCGGUUUUUUAAGUCUGAUGUGAAAGCCCUCGGCUUAACCGAGGAAGUGCAUCGGAAACUGGGAAACUUGAGUGCAGAAGAGGACAGUGGAACUCCAUGUGUAGCGGUGAAAUGCGUAGAUAUAUGGAAGAACACCAGUGGCGAAGGCGGCUGUCUGGUCUGUAACUGACGCUGAGGCUCGAAAGCAUGGGUAGCGAACAGGAUUAGAUACCCUGGUAGUCCAUGCCGUAAACGAUGAAUGCUAGGUGUUGGAGGGUUUCCGCCCUUCAGUGCCGCAGCUAACGCAUUAAGCAUUCCGCCUGGGGAGUACGACCGCAAGGUUGAAACUCAAAGGAAUUGACGGGGGCCCGCACAAGCGGUGGAGCAUGUGGUUUAAUUCGAAGCAACGCGAAGAACCUUACCAGGUCUUGACAUCUUUUGAUCACCUGAGAGAUCAGGUUUCCCCUUCGGGGGCAAAAUGACAGGUGGUGCAUGGUUGUCGUCAGCUCGUGUCGUGAGAUGUUGGGUUAAGUCCCGCAACGAGCGCAACCCUUAUGACUAGUUGCCAGCAUUUAGUUGGGCACUCUAGUAAGACUGCCGGUGACAAACCGGAGGAAGGUGGGGAUGACGUCAAAUCAUCAUGCCCCUUAUGACCUGGGCUACACACGUGCUACAAUGGAUGGUACAACGAGUUGCGAGACCGCGAGGUCAAGCUAAUCUCUUAAAGCCAUUCUCAGUUCGGACUGUAGGCUGCAACUCGCCUACACGAAGUCGGAAUCGCUAGUAAUCGCGGAUCAGCACGCCGCGGUGAAUACGUUCCCGGGCCUUGUACACACCGCCCGUCACACCAUGAGAGUUUGUAACACCCGAAGCCGGUGGCGUAACCCUUUUAGGGAGCGAGCCGUCU